rnacentral:ribozyme from 1 species
AAAAGAGACGCCACACAAACAAAAUGUUUCAUGUUCGUUUUCGUUGUUUGUUUUUAUUAUUAUUUUAUUUGUCUAGAGUAGUAAACGUACAGAGAAACAG